rnacentral:lncRNA from 1 species
GGGGCAGGAGACCGGAGGGAGUUGAGGUUUUGCACCCGAUAAGGAGACGCAUAAAGGGAACGGGUGGGGACACAGGGCCCCUGCAGCCUCAGGAGGAUCAGCAGUGGCCUGGUUUACUCGUGUCGUCAUUCGUCGUGGGCACCUUGUCCCCGGGGCCGGCCAGUUACUUGGCCUCCUGGCUCAUCAUCCUGCCGGAAGCAUCUCCAGCUUGGGGAUGUUGGAGGGUCCCUGGCCCCACCUGGCUGGGGAUGGAGUGUAAGCCGAGGAGAUGCCAUGUGAGGGUGCAGCGAGGAGUUGGGCUGUCUAAAAGCAAAGAAAGAGAUUGCAUCAGACACCGCAUCUGCUGACACCUUGUUCUUGGACUUCCAGCUUCCAAAACCGCGAGAAAUAAAUGUCUGUGUCUAAACCCCAACCCUACCACCUCAACUGCCGUGUGUGGUGUUUUGUGAUGGCAGCCCCAGCUGACUGAGACACCUGGUUAGACCGGAAUAAGCAGUACCUGAGUCCCUUAAGAGUGGCCAAAGAAGAAAGAAUCCACUGAGUUGACAUUCCAGUUCAGCUGCAAUCGGUAGCAGUCACCAUUGAACAUCCUUGAAGCAAUUCUUCCAAAAUUACCUUGCAUCAAAGACUGCACAAGAACUGCUCUAAGCGGAAGGACUGAUGUCGGCAACCAGGGUUCCACCAGGGGCUGCAGACAGCCCUUGACCUUCAGGUGGGAAGGUGUCACUGAGUUCAGACCCUCUGGCAAUCCCUAGCUAUCAACAUUUUGAUAAGAAAAUAAGUGGAAAGAAGUACAAAGAGUAUAUUCAAUUUGUUACAUAAAAGAAUACUCAAAGAAGACUGAAGCCACCUCCAGUUAGCAAGUUCUUUGCCAUUCAGAAGUAACCAAAUUUACUCACGUAGGCCAGGAAUUUCUAUGACGUGUUCCAAAUUCAGCCUCUCACUGAACACUUCCAGAGCAAGGCAACAUAAACAUCUGCAAGAAGAACAUUGUGUGAGAAAUAUCAAGUGAGAGUGGAAGAGUCUGCGGAGGGCCUCCCUGGGGCUCACCUGUGCUUUUGCCUGAGCUUCACCGUGUCAAGGAUGCAGCACUUUUUCCCUCUGGAGGAAGCAGCUUUCACCUUGGAAGAAUCUUGACCUUGCCAUUCAAAGUCACCAGACAGGGAAUCUGCCAGUGCCUUGAUCUUAGACUUCCCAGCUUCUGUAACUGUGAGCAAUAAAUGUAUGCUGCUUAUAAACUAUCCAGUCUCAUGCAUUUUGUUAUAGCAAUAUAAACAGAUGAAGACAGACAUAAACAUAUCUUUUUGAGAGAUGCAAUGCAACCCAUACCACCAGGAUUGCCACAUGUUUGCUGAUUUCACCUGGUAGCAAGGCUUAGCUAUCUUGGCUUGAAUGUAAUACCUCCAUCUUUUCUCUUGGUCAUCCUCUUUAAGCAGAGGACUUUUAUCUACCCAAGCAGAAUCCUGUGUUCUUGCUAUUCGAAGUGCAGCCCAGCCUCCUGCAGCCACCACAUCACUUGUGAUGCUUGACAGAAAUGCAGACUCUCUGUUCCCACCUCAAACCUACUGACUUGGGAAUCUGCAGCUUACCAAGAUCUCCAGGUGAUCCACGUACACGUCAAACUUUGAAAAGCAGUGGUUUG